CCUGGUGCCCCAAACGACUGGGCCACACCUGAUCCCAUCCCGAACUCAGAAGUUAAGCCAGUCAGUGCUGAUGGUACUCCUUCAGGGGGAGAGUAGGCCGGUGCCAGGU
rnacentral:rRNA from 1 species